rnacentral:rRNA from 1 species
GGUUAAGCGACUAAGCGUACACGGUGGAUGCCCUGGCAGUCAGAGGCGAUGAAGGACGUGCUAAUCUGCGAUAAGCGUCGGUGAGGUGAUAUGAACCGUUAUAACCGGCGAUUUCCGAAUGGGGAAACCCAGUGUGUUUCGACACACUAUCAUUAACUGAAUCCAUAGGUUAAUGAGGCGAACCGGGGGAACUGAAACAUCUAAGUACCCCGAGGAAAAGAAAUCAACCGAGAUUCCCCCAGUAGCGGCGAGCGAACGGGGAGGAGCCCAGAGCCUGAAUCAGUGUGUGUGUUAGUGGAAGCGUCUGGAAAGGCGUGCGAUACAGGGUGACAGCCCCGUACACAAAAAUGCACAUAUUGUGAGCUCGAUGAGUAGGGCGGGACACGUGGU